rnacentral:rRNA from 1 species
AAUGAACGUUGGCGGCGUGGAUUAGGCAUGCGAGUCGAGCGAGAACCCCGCAAGGGGGGACAGCGGCGAAAGGGACAGUAAUGUGUAGAUUAUCUGCCCUCAGGCCCGGGAUAGCUGCGGGAAACUGCAGGUAAUACCGGAUAACAUCUCCGGAUCAAAGGUGUGAUUCCGCCUGAGGAUGAGUCUGCAUCCUAUUAGCUAGUUGGGGGGGUAAUGGCCUACCAAGGCAUGGAUGGGUAGCAGGUGUGAGAGCACGACCUGCGUCAUUGGGACUGAGACACCGCCGAGACACCUACGGGGGCCGGAAGUCGAGGGGCUUCGGCAAUGGGGGAAAGCCUGACCGGGCGACGCGGCGUGUGGAAUAACGGCCUUCGGGUUGUAAACCACUGUCAGUGGGAAUGAGAUGCAGGUGGGUUCUCCCAUCUGUUUGACAUAGCCUCAGAGGAAGGACGGGCUAAGUUCGUG